rnacentral:ribozyme from 1 species
UGCUCAGCAACUCCUAUCCGUACCUCCUCGCGGUACUGGCCGGGGUACGAGUAACUUUAGGGAAGAUCUGGUAACCAUUCCCGGUGGG